rnacentral:rRNA from 1 species
AGUGGGGAAUCUUAGACAAUGGGGGCAACCCUGAUCUAGCCAUGCCGCGUGAGUGAUGAAGGCCUUAGGGUUGUAAAGCUCUUUCAGCUGGGAAGAUAAUGACGGUACCAGCAGAAGAAGCCCCGGCUAACUCCGUGCCAGCAGCCGCGGUAAUACGGAGGGGGCUAGCGUUGUUCGGAAUUACUGGGCGUAAAGCGCACGUAGGCGGACCAGAAAGUUGGGGGUGAAAUCCCGGGGCUCAACCUCGGAACUGCCUUCAAAACUAUCGGUCUGGAGUUCGAGAGAGGUGAGUGGAAUUCCGAGUGUAGAGGUGAAAUUCGUAGAUAUUCGGAGGAACACCAGUGGCGAAGGCGGCUCACUGGCUCGAUACUGACGCUGAGGUGCGAAAGCGUGGGGAGCAAA